rnacentral:ribozyme from 11 species
AGAUCCAUAGAGAUGUGAAGAGAAGAGAGAAAGACGAAGGAGGGAGGAAUGUAGAAAAGGUGUAUCGGACGUGUUUGUUCAGCUUGUCGGUAGACUUCUUUUUUCUUUUUUCUUCGUUCUCUUUUC